rnacentral:lncRNA from 1 species
AAAAGUACAUUUAAAAGUACAGUAUAGAUGAUAAUUAAAAGGCUUUAAAAGGUUAAAUUGAAGGUGGUCGAGAUACCUUCAUGGUGGAAAAAAGAUUGCUUUAUUGCAUCAUUCGAAGCCUAGUUAAUCUUAAAGGCAUUACUUUAAAAAAAAUGGGAAGAUAAUAGGAUAAAAGAUAUUUAGAUAAAGAAGAUUAAAAAUUUAAAGUGAAAAACUUUAAAGACAGAAGUAUAGAAAGUUAAAAAGAAAAAAGAUAAAGAUGUAGGAAGAUAAAAAAGAUGCAGAAAGACAAGAAUUUUAAACCCACAAAAUAGGAAGAAAAAACUAGGAGGAAAAUAAGCAACUAAGGGUAAAUAUACAAACCUUAGGAAAAAAAAAACUAGAAGAUAGAAAUAAGAUAGAAAAUGGUUGAAAAUGUCAAGUAAAGGUAUUUCAGAUAGAAAAUACAAAAGGCUAAGACAACUAUUAGAUACAGACAUUCAAGAUAGAAUUAAAAUGUAUUUAUUAAAGCAAAAAGAGGGAAUUGGAAAGGGGUAUAUACCCCCCCAAAGAUAAACUUAAAUAACCCUUUUUACUCUAAACUUUUUAAAUUUGGAUUCAUAAGGACUUAGUGCUGCGGA